rnacentral:lncRNA from 1 species
AUGAACCCCGUUCUUCAUCUCACUUUGUUCGUCUGGUCAAGCUUCUCUCACCUUCCUCAAUCAACAAAAACGCACUGCUAUGGACCUGCGUCCAAGACCGUCUCCAAUGAAAAUUAUCACGACAACAUCGUUCAUCGCCUCUUUGCUCGAAGCACUGUGUCGCUUCCGUUCGGUUUCUCCUCAUUUUCAUUCGCCACUCACAAGGCUCCGCUCUCAGAUUCCGACUCUCAUCUCGCAUUCAAUCGAAUCAAGAGCAUGCAAGAACAGAAGAAGGAGCUUUCUAUUUCAAUUUUAACAUGUUUCGAAUAG